rnacentral:tRNA from 1 species
UGCCAUCAAGCUGAUUUUUUAAGCACCAUCAUGGGGUGUCGGGGGUCGGAGGUUCAAAUCCUCUCGUGCCGACCA